AUUGAACGCUGGCGGCAUGCCUUACACAUGCAAGUCGAACGGCAGCACGGAGCUUGCUCUGGUGGCGAGUGGCGAACGGGUGAGUAAUAUAUCGGAACGUACCCAAGAGUGGGGGAUAACGUAGCGAAAGUUACGCUAAUACCGCAUACGCCCUACGGGGGAAAGCAGGGGAUCUUCGGACCUUGCGUUAAUGGAGCGGCCGAUAUCUGAUUAGCUAGUUGGUGAGGGAAAGGCUCACCAAGGCGACGAUCAGUAGCUGGUCUGAGAGGACGACCAGCCACACUGGAACUGAGACACGGUCCAGACUCCUACGGGAGGCAGCAGUGGGGAAUAUUGGACAAUGGGCGCAAGCCUGAUCCAGCCAUACCGCGUGGGUGAAGAAGGCCUUCGGGUUGUAAAGCCCUUUUGUUGGGAAAGAAAUCCAGCUGGCUAAUACCCGGUUGGGAUGACGGUACCCAAAGAAUAAGCACCGGCUAACUUCGUGCCAGCCGCCGCCGUAA
rnacentral:rRNA from 1 species